rnacentral:rRNA from 1 species
AGAGUUUGAUCCUGGCUCAGGAUGAACGCUAGCGGCGUGCCUAAUGCAUGCAAGUCGAACGGGAUCCCAUAGAUUCGUCUAAGGGUGAGAGUGGCGAACGGGUGAGUAACACGUUGGUGACCUGCCCCAGAGAGGGGGACAACCAGUGGAAACGCUGGCUAAUACCCCGGAUGUCAAGGUUUUUAGAAACCCUUGACUGAAGCUCCGGCGCUCUGGGAGGGGCCUGCGGUCCAUCAGCUUGUUGGUAGGGUAACGGCCUACCAAGGCGAAGACGGAUAGGGGGCGUGAGAGCGUGACCCCCCACACUGGUACUGACACACGGACCAGAUACCUGCGGGUAGCAGCAGCAAGGAAUAUUGCCCAAUGGACGAAAGUCUGAGGCAGCAACGCCGCGUGAAGGAAGAAGGCUUUCGGGUUGUAACCUUCUUUUUUGGGGGAAGAGAAAGGACGGUACCCCAAGAAUAAGAUCCGGCUAACUACGUGCCAGCAGCCGCGGUAAAACGUAGGGAUCGAGCGUUAUCCGGAUUUACUGGGCGUAAAGCGCGUGCAGGCGGUUUUCUAAGUCGGACGUGAAAGCUCCUGGCCCAACUGGGAGAGGCCGUUCGAAACUGGAAGACUUGAGGAUGGUAGAGGUAGUGGAAUUCCCGGUGUAGUGGUGAAAUGCGUAGAUAUCGAGAGGAACACCAGUGGCGAAGGCGGCUUACUGGGCCAUUCCUGACGCUGAGACGCGAAAGCUAGGGGAGAGAACGGGAUUAGAAACCCCGGUAUUCCUAGCCGUAAACGAUGUCAACUAGGUGUAGGGGGUAUCCAACCCCCCUGUGCUGUAGCUAACGCGUUAAGUUGACCGCCUGGGGACUACGGCCGCAAGGCUAAAACUCAAAGGAAUUGACGGGGACCCGCACAAGCAGCGGAGCGUGUGGUUUAAUUCGAGACUACGCGAAGAACCUUACCAGGGUUUGACAUGUACGUGGUAGGAAGGUGAAAGCCGACUGACCCUUCGGGGAGCGUACACAGGUGCUGCAUGGCUCGUCAGCUCGUGCCGUGAGGUGUUAGGUUAAGUCCUGUAACGAGCGCAACCCACGUCGUUAGUUAUACGUGUCUAACGAGACUGCCGGUGAUAAGCCGGAGGAAGGUGGGGAUGACGUCAAGUCAGCAUGGCCUUUAUAUCCUGGGCUACACACACGCUACAAUGGCCGGUACAAUGGGUAGCCAAGCCGCGAGGCGGAGCCAAUCCUUCAAAGCCGGUCUCAGUUCGGAUUGUAGGCUGCAACUCGCCUGCAUGAAGUCGGAGUUGCUAGUAAACGCGCGUCAGCAACAGUGCGUUGAAUACGUUCCCGGGUCUUGUACACACCGCCCGUCACGUCAUGGAAGUUGGCAACGCCUGAAGUCAGUGAGCUAACCCUAACGGGAGGCAGCUGCCCAAGGCGGGGUCGGUAACUGGGACGAAGUCGUAACAAGGUA